UGAGUCGUAGCCGACGUCCCAUAGCAGGUUGCGAUGGCGUCCACGGGUGUUGACGCAAUGUGAUUUCUGCCCAGUGCUCUGAAUGUCAACGUGAAAAAAUUAAAAAAAGCGCGGGUAAACGGCGAGAGUAACUAUGACUCUCUUAAGAGGCAGUUGGUUUUUCCUUGAAUAA
rnacentral:ncRNA from 1 species